AUAGCGUAUAUUAAAGUUGUUGCAGUUAAAAAGCUCGUAGUUGAACUUCAGACCUGGCCGGGCGGUCCGCUUUUCGGCGUGUUACUGUCUGGCCGGGCCUUACCUCUUGGUGAGCCUGCAUGCCCUUUACUGGACGUGUAGGAGAACCAGGACCUUUACCUUGAGAAAAUUAGAGUGUUCAAAGCAGGCAUACGCCCGAAUACAUUAGCAUGGAAUAAUAAAAUAGGACGUGCGGUUCUAUUUUGUUGGUUUCUAGAGUCGCCGUAAUGAUUAAUAGGGAUAGUUGGGGGCAUUAGUAUUCAGUUGCUAGAGGUGAAAUUCUUGGAUUUACUGAAGACUAACUACUG
rnacentral:rRNA from 1 species